rnacentral:misc_RNA from 1 species
AAGGAUUCCCCUUUAAAAAGUUAGCAAUUAAAAGCAAAUAUCACAAAAAUCACAAUACGGUGGUGACAAAAUGCGAAUUGAACUGGGAUAACUUUAAGUCCACUGUCCGCUCCUUAAUUGCUGCUGCUGGUGCAACUUUUGAACUUUUUAAGUCGAAAAAAAUGUCAUUUUCAGCCAUUUGGAGUCUGCUGAAACUGCUGCAAAAAUGGACUUUUGAGGUCAAG